UCUGCGCGUGUUUCUAUUGGCUGUCAGAUCUUUAAGGGGCGGGACUGMAGUUAGCGUGUGGUUGACGUACAGAGAAACUUCCAGAAGUGAUUGCGGUGAUCUGAAGAGCAGCUGUAUUGAUUGCGGUGAUUGGAAUAGCAGCUGCGUUAGCCUAAAUCAGUCCAGUGCUGUGUUGAUAGUUGAUAUCAACGAAGUAAAAGAAUUUGAGGUUAAUCUACAAGUGGAUCAGGACAGUGAGAAGAUGUUUCGCCUGGAGGACGUCUUUAUUCGACCUUUGCUGCCAUCUUUGACCUUCAUGGAUGCAGACUGAGACGUUUUCCCUCCACAUCUGACCAAAGCAUCACCUUUA